UUAACGUUACUUCUUUUUAUUCUCAUGUUUUUUCUGCGAUUGUUGAUCUUUUCUUUUCAUUGUUUCAGCCCUUCUAAAGCAACAAGGUAUUCUAGAUUUUGAAUCCCUUUUCGGAUUGUUAACAACUUGCUCGCAAUGGUGGGACAGAGCUCAUAGUGUUGGAGGACCAUUUCAACAAUUUUGGAAUGGGCAUUUGCAGAGAUCUUGAAGGUCGAGAUGAAAUAAGGAUUUUCAGGCGAUUCCAAUUUGUACCAGAAGCUGUUAGCCAUUUAUGCAUCUUUUAAAAUCACUGAUGUAAGAAUCAUGCUAGCUACACUAUUUUAAGACAGUUGAUGUGAAGUCAAUUAUCCUGUUUGGCUGAUACACUAUUUUUGCAUGAAGACAGGUAAAUGUUAAACUACUACAUUAUAUACCAUCAUUUUAUUCGUGUCUAUCUAACUGUGAUUGGUUAAUUUAGUUGGCAAUUGUGUGUCCAGGUGUUUUGAAUUUGU